GUCAAGACAGGAGAGAGAAAGGUACGUUUUCCGUUGAUUUUGUUUAGUUUUAUUUUGGGGAUACAUGAAUUCUGCUGAACGAGGAAGUUAGCUAGCAUUUUGGCUAGCUGGCUAACUGCAGUGCCAUAACCGUAGCUAGCUAACGUUAGCUGGCGUUAUUGUUAGGCCUGCUAACUAGUUACCAUAUCACAUUGUACAGAAUAUACUUUCCAUGUAGUAUGUUGAAUUUUGUUUGGAUUAGCUAGGUAGCUUUCUAACCUUGACUAGCUACUGUAGCUAGCUAAGUUUCCUAACCUGAAACUGACAAAUAGCUAUGAUAUGGUCGCUACUGGCUAGCUAGCUGGGCUCACCUUUGUGUGAAGCUAGCCACAAUAACGAUUAUCCACAUCAGUGGAAUUUACGGCUUGCCUUCAUAAUAAAAGUUCCCCAUUGGAAACAGGGUGUGGUCAAUCUUGGAUUUCCACAAGGUCUCAGACUCCAAGAUGGGAAAAUGCCUACUAGAACGAAACAUAUAACAGAGACAGAGUUGUUGAUAUUCAUUGUUAUUUGUAACAUUAAAAAGGAGGACAAGAAGAUAA